rnacentral:tRNA from 1 species
CAGGAAGUAGUUUAUUAAAAUAUUAAUUUUGGAGAUUAAAGAUAGAGGUGCCUCUCUUCCUGA